GCCGGGUGUGGUGGCUCACGCCUGUAAUCCCAGCCCUUUGGGAGGCUGAGGCGGGUGGAUCACCUGAGGUCAGGAGUUCAAGACCGGCCUGACCAACAUGGUGAAACCCUGUCUCUA
rnacentral:SRP_RNA from 1 species